ACAAAAACGUCAUCCAAAAUUCGUUGGUUCUCGUUCGAUCACCGAAGUUAAGCAAUGUCGGGCCCCGGUCAGUACUUGGGAGGGUGACCACCUGGGAACACCGGGUGCUGUAGGCA